rnacentral:rRNA from 1 species
AUUGAACGCUGGCGGCAUGCUUUACACAUGCAAGUCGAACGGUAACAGGUUAAGCUGACGAGUGGCGAACGGGUGAGUAAUGCAUCGGAACGUGCCCGAUCGUGGGGGAUAACGCAGCGAAAGCUGCGCUAAUACCGCAUACGAUCUGAGGAUGAAAGCGGGGGACCGUAAGGCCUCGCGCGAUCGGAGCGGCCGAUGUCAGAUUAGGUAGUUGGUGGGGUAAAGGCUCACCAAGCCAACGAUCUGUAGCUGGUCUGAGAGGACGACCAGCCACACUGGGAAUGAGACACGGCCCAGACUCCUCCUGGAGGCAGCAGUGGGGAAUUUUGGACAAUGGGCGAAAGCCUGAUCCAGCAAUGCCGCGUGCAGGAAGAAGGCCUUCGGGUUGUAAACUGCUUUUGUACGGGGCGAAAAGGUUCUCUCUAAUACAGAGGGCUCAUGACGGUACCGUAAGAAUAAGCACCGGCUAACUACGUGCCAGCAGCCGCCGCUG